UACGUAGGGUGCGAGCGUUGUCCGGAAUUAUUGGGCGUAAAGAGCUCGUAGGCGGUUUGUCACGUCGGGAGUGAAAACUCGGGGCUUAACCCCGAGCCUGCUUCCGAUACGGGCUGACUAGAGGUAUGCAGGGGAGAACGGAAUUCCUGGUGUAGCGGUGAAAUGCGCAGAUAUCAGGAGGAACACCGGUGGCGAAGGCGGUUCUCUGGGCAUUACCUGACGCUGAGGAGCGAAAGUGUGGGGAGCGAACAGG
rnacentral:rRNA from 1 species